CAAAUUUGCAGAGAAGGAUCAACACGUCUUUUUUCAUUGUAUUUAUCAUCUCUCUAUCUUUUUUCCACAAAAUAAAAUAAAGUUCAAACAAGUUCUAAUCUUUGAUUUUUAUUUUGAUUAUACCUCGAUUAAAGAUGUCUGUGAUCGGUAUCGACUUGGGAAACUUGAAUGCUGUUGUGGCUCAAGCAGGGAGAGGGGGAAUAGAUAUUCUUCUAAAUGAAAAUUCAAAUCGUUUGAACCCCUCAAUGGUU
rnacentral:ribozyme from 1 species